rfam:Salmo salar isolate Sally breed double haploid chromosome ssa16, whole genome shotgun sequence.
AAACAGGCUCUUUUAAGAGUCACCCAUAUUGGAAAAUAUAGAACA